GACGAACGCUGGCGGCGUGCUUAACACAUGCAAGUCGAACGGAAAGGCCCUGCUUUUGUGGGGUGCUCGAGUGGCGAACGGGUGAGUAACACGUGAGUAACCUGCCCUUGACUUUGGGAUAACUUCAGGAAACUGGGGCUAAUACCGGAUAGGAGCUCCUGCUGCAUGGUGGGGGUUGGAAAGUUUCGGCGGUUGGGGAUGGACUCGCGGCUUAUCAGCUUGUUGGUGGGGUAGUGGCUUACCAAGGCUUUGACGGGUAGCCGGCCUGAGGGGUGACCGGCCACAUUGGGACUGAGAUACGGCCCAGACUCCUACGGGAGGCAGCAGUGGGGAAUAUUGCACAAUGGGCGGAAGCCUGAUGCAGCAACGCCGCGUGCGGGAUGACGGCCUUCGGGUUGUAAACCGCUUUCGCCUGUGACGAAGCGUGAGUGACGGUAAUGGGUAAAGAAGCACCGGCUAACUACGUG
rnacentral:rRNA from 1 species